GGGUUGUGAGGUUAAGCGACUAAGCGUACACGGUGGAUGCCCUGGCAGUCAGAGGCGAUGAAGGACGUGCUAAUCUGCGAUAAGCGCCGGUAAGGUGAUAUGAACCGUUAUAACCGGCGAUUUCCGAAUGGGGAAACCCAGUGUGAUUCGUCACACUAUCAUUAACUGAAUCCAUAGGUUAAUGAGGCGAACCGGGGGAACUGAAACAUCUAAGUACCCCGAGGAAAAGAAAUCAACCGAGAUUCCCCCAGUAGCGGCGAGCGAACGGGGAGGAGCCCAGAGCCUGAAUCAGCAUGUGUGUUAGUGGAAGCGUCUGGAAAGGCGCGCGAUACAGGGUGACAGCCCCGUACACAAAAGCGCAUGUGCUGUGAGCUCGAUGAGUAGGGCGGGACACGUGGUAUCCUGUCUGAAUAUGGGGGGACCAUCCUCCAAGGCUAAAUACUCCUGACUGACCGAUAGUGAACCAGUACCGUGAGGGAAAGGCGAAAAGAACCCCGGCGAGGGGAGUGAAAAAGAACCUGAAACCGUGUACGUACAAGCAGUGGGAGCACAGGUUUACCUGUGUGACUGCGUACCUUUUGUAUAAUGGGUCAGCGACUUAUAUUCUGUAGCAAGGUUAACCGAAUAGGGGAGCCGGAGGGAAACCGAGUCUUAAUUGGGCGUUAAGUUGCAGGGUAUAGACCCGAAACCCGGUGAUCUAGCCAUGGGCAGGUUGAAGGUUGGGUAACACUAACUGGAGGACCGAACCGACUAAUGUUGAAAAAUUAGCGGAUGACCUGUGGCUGGGGGUGAAAGGCCAAUCAAACCGGGAGAUAGCUGGUUCUCCCCGAAAGCUAUUUAGGUAGCGCCUCGUGAAUUCAUCUCCGGGGGUAGAGCACUGUUUCGGCUAGGGGGCCAUCCCGGCUUACCAACCCGAUGCAAACUGCGAAUACCGGAGAAUGUUAUCACGGGAGACACACGGCGGGUGCUAACGUCCGUCGUGAAGAGGGAAACAACCCAGACCGCCAGCUAAGGUCCCAAAGUCAUGGUUAAGUGGGAAACGAUGUGGGAAGGCCCAGACAGCCAGGAUGUUGGCUUAGAAGCAGCCAUCAUUUAAAGAAAGCGUAAUAGCUCACUGGUCGAGUCGGCCUGCGCGGAAGAUGUAACGGGGCUAAACCAUGCACCGAAGCUGCGGCAGCGAACGUAUCACCCAAGACAACUUUACGGAGUUGACGAUUGACGGAGCGAAGCGACGUCAAAGCGUUCAUUAAAGUCGAGUUGGCUUAGGGAUACGUUCGUUGGGUAGGGGAGCGUUCUGUAAGCCUGUGAAGGUGUGUCGUGAGGCAUGCUGGAGGUAUCAGAAGUGCGAAUGCUGACAUAAGUAACGAUAAAGCGGGUGAAAAGCCCGCUCGCCGGAAGACCAAGGGUUCCUGUCCAACGUUAAUCGGGGCAGGGUGAGUCGACCCCUAAGGCGAGGCCGAAAGGCGUAGUCGAUGGGAAACGGGUUAAUAUUCCCGUACUUGGUGUUACUGCGAAGGGGGGACGGAGAAGGCUAUGUUGGCCGGGCGACGGUUGUCCCGGUUUAAGCGUGUAGGUGUGUGUUCCAGGUAAAUCCGGUUCACUUUAACACUGAGGCGUGACGACGAGGCACUACGGUGCUGAAGCAACAAAUGCCCUGCUUCCAGGAAAAGCCUCUAAGCAUCAGGUAACAUCAAAUCGUACCCCAAACCGACACAGGUGGUCAGGUAGAGAAUACCAAGGCGCUUGAGAGAACUCGGGUGAAGGAACUAGGCAAAAUGGUGCCGUAACUUCGGGAGAAGGCACGCUGACACGUAGGUGAAGUGAUUUACUCAUGGAGCUGAAGUCAGUCGAAGAUACCAGCUGGCUGCAACUGUUUAUUAAAAACACAGCACUGUGCAAACACGAAAGUGGACGUAUACGGUGUGACGCCUGCCCGGUGCCGGAAGGUUAAUUGAUGGGGUCAGCGCAAGCGAAGCUCCUGAUCGAAGCCCCGGUAAACGGCGGCCGUAACUAUAACGGUCCUAAGGUAGCGAAAUUCCUUGUCGGGUAAGUUCCGACCUGCACGAAUGGCGUAAUGAUGGCCAGGCUGUCUCCACCCGAGACUCAGUGAAAUUGAACUCGCUGUGAAGAUGCAGUGUACCCGCGGCAAGACGGAAAGACCCCGUGAACCUUUACUAUAGCUUGACACUGAACAUUGAGCCUUGAUGUGUAGGAUAGGUGGGAGGCUUUGAAGUGUGGACGCCAGUCUGCAUGGAGCCGACCUUGAAAUACCACCCUUUAAUGUUUGAUGUUCUAACGUGGACCCGUAAUCCGGGUUGCGGACAGUGUCUGGUGGGUAGUUUGACUGGGGCGGUCUCCUCCUAAAGAGUAACGGAGGAGCACGAAGGUUGGCUAAUCCUGGUCGGACAUCAGGAGGUUAGUGCAAUGGCAUAAGCCAGCUUGACUGCGAGCGUGACGGCGCGAGCAGGUGCGAAAGCAGGUCAUAGUGAUCCGGUGGUUCUGAAUGGAAGGGCCAUCGCUCAACGGAUAAAAGGUACUCCGGGGAUAACAGGCUGAUACCGCCCAAGAGUUCAUAUCGACGGCGGUGUUUGGCACCUCGAUGUCGGCUCAUCACAUCCUGGGGCUGAAGUAGGUCCCAAGGGUAUGGCUGUUCGCCAUUUAAAGUGGUACGCGAGCUGGGUUUAGAACGUCGUGAGACAGUUCGGUCCCUAUCUGCCGUGGGCGCUGGAGAACUGAGGGGGGCUGCUCCUAGUACGAGAGGACCGGAGUGGACGCAUCACUGGUGUUCGGGUUGUCAUGCCAAUGGCACUGCCCGGUAGCUAAAUGCGGAAGAGAUAAGUGCUGAAAGCAUCUAAGCACGAAACUUGCCCCGAGAUGAGUUCUCCCUGAGACUUAGAGUCUCCUGAAGGAACGUUGAAGACGACGACGUUGAUAGGCCGGGUGUGUAAGCGCAGCGAUGCGUUGAGCUAACCGGUACUAAUGAACCGUGAGGCUUAACCUUACAACGCCGAAG
rnacentral:rRNA from 1 species